rnacentral:tRNA from 1 species
CCCUGGGUGGCACAAACAGUUGAGUGUUUGGCUGUUAACCAAAAGGCUGGUGGUUCAAUUCCACUCAGAGGUG